ACUUUGAUAUUUGGUAUAUCAUUAUCUCGUAUAUCGAUGUAGAUUAAAUAUUAUAAUUUGACUCUUAACUAAAAGUUUAUUAAUUACUCUUAGUUAUACGUUUUUUUAUUUUUUGUUUUAUGCAAAUCAAAUAAUAACAACAAUAAUAACCAAGCAUUUAUAGGAAUGGCUAUAACAUAUAACAUCAUGUUCAUGUGAACCCAAACAUUCCUGACCAGAGUGCCUUUUUUAUUUUCCUGCUAAUUUCAAAAAUAAACAAAACAAAAAUCAUGGGGAAAAUCCCAAAAACAGACAGCCCAUUGGAUAAACAAAACAGUAGAAGUACAGUCAAAGCAACUUUUAACUUCACUGCUGGCAACAUCUUAUAAUUGAAUGUACACAUGAUGUACUGAUGUCAUGUAAGUCACUUUACAUGUAAUAAAACAAAAAGACAAACAAAUAUAGAAACUAUCUUUUUCUUUUUCUUUUUUAAUUUUAAUUUUUUCUUUUCUUUUUGUGUCCUUCGAAAGUGACCCUCCACUCAUAUUUGUUUAUAUUUUCUCUUUAAAAUAUUUACAUCGCUGACCGAAUAAAUUUUAAUAAAUUCAUUUUCCAAAAAGAAAAUUUUUGCUAUUAAAGAUGCCUAUUUCCUCCAACUUAACUAAUUUGACCAGUUAGCUACUUAUGAAGACUUACCUAAUUAGCUCGGUUAGUUAAGUUAUUUAUGAAGAGAAAAUUAAUUAGUUAAAAUAAAUAUCUAUGUCCUAUAUGGUUAGUUUUUUUGCUAGAGCAUCACCAAAUAACUUUUCAAAUAAGAUCACGUCAAUAUUUAAAGUUUCAAAAAAAUCCUCCAAUUAAGAUUUUUUAAAUAAGAAUUGAUUCUCUCUCUUCAAAUUUAGAGAGUUAAUUUUUCCAUCUUCAAUUUAUAUUUUA
rnacentral:lncRNA from 1 species